rnacentral:rRNA from 1 species
GAUGAACGCUGGCGGCGUGCCUAAUACAUGCGAGUCGAGCGAACGGACGAGAAGCUUGCUUCUGUGAUGUUAGCGGCGGACGAGGGAGUAGUACGAGGAUAACAACCUUAUACGACUGGGAUAACAUCGGGAAACAGGAGCUACUAAUGGGGAAUAUUUUGAACCGCAUGGUUCAAAAGUGAAAGACGGUCUUGCUGUCACUUGUAGAUGGAUCCGCGCUGCAUUAGCUAGUUGGUAAGGUAACGGCUUACCAAGGCAACGAUGCAUAGCCGACCUGAGAGGGUGGUCGGCCACACUGGAACUGAGACACGGUCCAGACUCCUACGGGAGGCAGCAGUAGGGAAUCUUCCGCAAUGGGCGAAAGCCUGACGGAGCAACGCCGCGUGAGUGAUGAUGGUCUUCGGAUCGUAAAACUCUUUUAUUAGGGAAGAACAUAGGUUUAAGUAUCUGUGCACAUCUUGACGGUACCUAAUCAGAAAGCCACGGCUAACUACGUG